AUCACGGACUGUGUUACUGCUAAUAAUGUGAAUGCUAAACGUAAUUAGCGAUUAGCUGGCGCUAGCUUGCUAACGGUUGUUAGCACACAUGUUAAGCUGUAGUAGCCUCACGUUGCUUGUUGUGCUAAAGCGUGUUUUACUGUUGUUUGCUAUGUGAACUCGAAAUGAGCUCAUGGAGGCGCAUAGAGACUGUAUAUAUUGACUGGUUAAAGGACAAGUAUGUAUGUUCGCCAGAGGACAGGACCAGAAUACACUUCUUGGACCCUUGUUUGCCCUUGGAGAUAUGAGCGGCAGGUAUCGGCUGUGAGUGAGAAGCCACGUUGGUCAAGGCUGCGGUCACUGGGUCUCCUAUUUUCCCUCUUCCUCAUCCAUAACUUUGUUUUCCCCUCACACACACAUCACAAGAUAACCGAUGACGGACAGUACAAGUGUCACAGUGAGGAGGAUCUGAAGAGCACGGACGGCCGUAACGAGAUAACUGCGGACAAAAGUGGAGCGCUCUUUCUCUGAUGAGGAGGGCGGUUCCGAUUACCUCUAAGAGCUCUCACACAUUAGGGGUGAGGUACACGUGUCAAUCAGGCGCUGUUUCCUACAAGUUCAAACCACUGGUUUGUGCUAGUUCCUCCACCUCAAACCAGCGACUGAAGCAGGCUCUGCCAAGUCUGCAGGGGAGCCGCCUUCAACAUCCUCUGAUGCCUCUUCAAUUGUGCUUGAGUACUUCCCUGAUGUUCCCUAUGCCAAAGGAGAAUGGGCAGGUUUCAACGACUCUGUCUACAAAUCUGAUUCUACAAAAACCUGUGUGGACUGUCAAAAGAUGAAGAUGAGGACUGUGCACUAUAGCAAUUCAAUCAAGCCAAAUGGAAGUGAAGAGCAUCAUUAAACUCAAGCUAAGUA